CCAGUUUUAGAUGAGUAGAAACCACUUACUAUUUUUUGCUGUGGAAGAAAAAAACCAAGAAGAAGAAGCAUCUUGGAGCCCCCGAAGGAAAAGCAGGAUGCAACUCCAUCAAACAUCCGAGCUUCAUUUGUGCAGCCCUCCACAGGACUUUCCUUCUGUGCGUGGUCUUUCGCUCUGUCCCCUUAAUGACCCACACAUAACAACUACAACUGGGAGAACUGGGGUUGUGAUCAUUUGAGCAAACUGGUCAUCCUUUGUCAACUUCACAGCUGCUUUGGCAACAGGCAAGAAGGAUUCCGAAUAUAGAACUAUUGUGAAGCAUCUAAAUAUAGUUUCACUUACUCAGUUUUCCAGCUAUUUUCACGGACAAAACUGACCACUUGGCUUUGGAAUAUUCAUCUGUACAUAUUCAGACCAUGAUCUGAGCCUUUGAUUUCAGAGUGGACUUGUUGUUUUUGUUUGAACAUUUGCUCUUCCUUGCAAGAUCGAAAACUGCUUUAAAACGUUUUGCCUUCCAAAUGUAGCUUGCUGUGAUACUUGAAAUAAAUCAAAAGCUUUUCUUUCAAAGUACAACAAUAAAGACAAGACCUCUUCAUUAA